GCGAACGCUGGCGGCAGGCCUAAUACAUGCAAGUCGAGCGGCCCUUCGGGGCAGCGGCGGACGGGUGAGUAACGCGUGGGAACGUGCCCUUUGGUACGGAACAACUGAGGGAAACUUCAGCUAAUACCGUAUGUGCCCUUCGGGGGAAAGAUUUAUCGCCAUUGGAGCGGCCCGCGUUAGAUUAGCUAGUCGGUAGGGUAAUGGCCUACCAAGGCGACGAUCUAUAGCUGGUCUGAGAGGAUGAUCAGCCACACUGGGACUGAGACACGGCCCAGACGCCUACGGGAGGCAGCAGUAGGGAAUUUUGCGCAAUGGGCGAAAGCCUGACGCAGCCAUGCCGCGUGAAUGAUGAAGGUCUUAGGAUUGUAAAAUUCUUUCACCGGGGACGAUAAUGACGGUACCCGGAGAAGAAGCCCCGGCUAACUGCGUGCCAGCCGCCGCAGUAAGAC
rnacentral:rRNA from 1 species